UGCAGUCGUACGCUUCUUUUUCCACCGGAGCUUGCUCCACCGGAAAAAGAGGAGUGGCGAACGGGUGAGUAACACGUGGGUAACCUGCCCAUCAGAAGGGGAUAACACUUGGAAACAGGUGCUAAUACCGUAUAACAAUCGAAACCGCAUGGUUUUGAUUUGAAAGGCGCUUUCGGGUGUCGCUGAUGGAUGGACCCGCGGUGCAUUAGCUAGUUGGUGAGGUAACGGCUCACCAAGGCCACGAUGCAUAGCCGACCUGAGAGGGUGAUCGGCCACAUUGGGACUGAGACACGGCCCAAACUCCUACGGGAGGCAGCAGUAGGGAAUCUUCGGCAAUGGACGAAAGUCUGACCGAGCAACGCCGCGUGAGUGAAGAAGGUUUUCGGAUCGUAAAACUCUGUUGUUAGAGAAGAACAAGGAUGAGAGUAACUGUUCAUCCCUUGACGGUAUCUAACCAGAAAGCCACGGCUAACUACGUGCCAGCAGCCGCGGUAAUACGUAGGUGGCAAGCGUUGUCCGGAUUUAUUGGGCGUAAAGCGAGCGCAGGCGGUUUCUUAAGUCUGAUGUGAAAGCCCCCGGCUCAACCCGGGGAGGGUCAUUGGAAACUGGGAGACUUGAGUGCAGAAGAGGAGAGUGGAAUUCCAUGUGUAGCGGUGAAAUGCGUAGAUAUAUGGAGGAACACCAGUGGCGAAAGGCGGCUCU
rnacentral:rRNA from 1 species